UUUAAUGAACAAUCGAGAUUUGUUUACUUAAGGAUUCAUUUAAAAACGUUUACGGACGAAACACCGCUGAUACUUUGAAUGUACUUACACGGCCAUCCAGACGGAGCGCUGCAUCCUAAUUACCAGAGCUGAAGGACAGAGGAUAUCUCCUCGCCUCCUUAGCUGGAAUAACUGGCCUGGUGUAUCUGGUCAAAUGAGACGCAGUAAAUUAAAGCUGUAACCCUCGGAUUCAAACGCUCUUUGUCAGCAAUCAGCCGCCAUGCCAACCGAUCGGAUGAGAGGAAAUCCAC